UACGUAGGGGGCAAGCGUUGUCCGGAUUUAUUGGGCGUAAAGAGCGUGUAGGCGGUUUGGUAGGUCCGUUGUGAAAACUCGAGGCUCAACCUCGAGACGCCGAUGGAAACCAUCAGACUAGAGUCCGGAAGAGGAGAGUGGAAUUCCCGUGGUGAUGACGGUGAAAUGCGCAGAUAUCGGAAGGAACGACCUCCUGGCGA
rnacentral:rRNA from 1 species